CGGGUGCACUGAUCCGGCCGGGCCUUUCCCUCUGUGGAACCCCAUGGCCUUCACUGGCUGUGCGGGGGAAACAGGACUUUUACUGUGAAAAAAUUAGAGUGCUCCAGGCAGGCCUAUGCUCGAAUACAUUAGCAUGGAAUAAUAGAAUAGGACGCGUGGUUCUAUUUUGUUGGUUUCUAGGACCGCCGUAAUGAUUAAUAGGGACAGUCGGGGGCAUCAGUAUUCAAUUGUCAGAGGUGAAAUUCCUGGAUCUAUUGAAGACUAACUACUGCGAAAGCAUUUGCCAAGGAUGUUUUCAUUGAUAAGGAACGAAAGUUAGGGGAUCGAAGACGAUCAGAUACCGUCGUAGUCUUAACUAUAAACUAUGCCGACUAGGGAUCGGACGAUGUUAUUUCUUGACGCGUUCGGCACCUUUCGAGAAAUCAAAGUGCUUGGGCUCCAGGGGGAGUAUGGUCGCAAGGCUGAAACUUAAAGAAAUUGACGGAAGGGCACCACCAGGGGUGGAACCUGCGGCUUAAUUUGACUCAACACGGGGAAACUCACCAGGUCCAGACACAGUGAGGAUUGACAGAUUGAGAGCUCUUUCUUGAUUCUGUGGGUGGUGGUGCAUGGCCGUUCUUAGUUGGUGGAGUGAUUUGUCUGCUUAAUUGCGAUAACGAACGAGACCUUAACCUGCUAAAUAGCCCGUACUGCUCUGGCAGUUCGCCGGCUUCUUAGAGGGACUAUCGG
rnacentral:rRNA from 1 species